rnacentral:rRNA from 1 species
CCUACGGGUGGCUGCAGUGGGGAAUAUUGGGCAAUGGGCGCAAGCCUGACCCAGCAACGCCGCGUGAAGGAAGACGGCUUUCGGGUUGUAAACCUCUUUUCUGAGGGACGAAGAACGUGACGGUACCUCAGGAAUAAGCCACGGCUAACUACGUGCCAGCAGCCGCGUGAAUACGUAGGUGGCAAGCGUUCUCCGGAUUUAUUGGGUGUAAAGGGCGUGUAGGUGGGAAAGCAAGUCAGAUGUGAAAACUCAGGGCACAACCCUGGGCCUGCAUUGGAAACUGUUUGUCUUGAGUGCUGGAGAGGCAAGCGGAAUGCCGUGGGUAGCGGUGAAAUGCGUAGAUAUAAGGAGGAACACCAGUGGCGAAGGCGGAUUGCUGGACAGUAACUGACGCUGAGGCGCGAAAGCGUGGGGAGCAAACAGGAUUAGAUACCCGAGUAGUC